AGUGGCGGACGGGUGAGUAACGCGUGAGAAUCUGCCUUGGGGUCGGGGACAACCACUGGAAACGGUGGCUAAUACCGGAUAAGCCGAUUGGUGAAAGAUUUAUUGCCCGAAGAGGAGCUCGCGUCUGAUUAGCUAGUUGGUGAGGUAAGAGCUCACCAAGGCAACGAUCAGUAGCUGGUCUGAGAGGACGAUCAGCCACACUGGGACUGAGACACGGCCCAGACUCCUACGGGAGGCAGCAGUGGGGAAUUUUCCGCAAUGGGCGAAAGCCUGACGGAGCAAGACCGCGUGAGGGAGGAAGGCUCUUGGGUUGUAAACCUCUUUUCUCAGGGAAGAAGCUCUGACGGUACCUGAGGAAUCAGCCUCGGCUAACUCCGUGCCAGCAGCCGCGGUAAUACGGAGGAGGCAAGCGUUAUCCGGAAUUAUUGGGCGUAAAGCGUCCGCAGGUGGCGAUUCAAGUCUGCUGUCAAAGCACGGGGCUUAACUCCGUAAAGGCAGUGGAAACUGAAUAGCUAGAGUGCCGUAGGGGUAGAGGGAAUUCCCGGUGUAGCGGUGAAAUGCGUAGAGAUCGGGAAGAACAUCGGUGGCGAAAGCGCUCUACUGGACGGCAACUGACACUCAGGGACGAAAGCUAGGGGAGCGAAUGGGAUUAGAUACCCC
rnacentral:rRNA from 1 species